ACCUGCAAUGCGUCAAGUGAAGAUGCUGGGGUCUGCCAUCUUAUGGAGCCUGAAUGGUACUACCAAAUAACAGAAUGUGGAACUACGUGUUCAAAUCAGGAGAAUAGUUUGCAUUUUCUCCUUUUCAGGAGAGCUUGUUGGGUCAGAUAUCCAAACUGGAUCCCUGCAUGUGUAUCAUAUUCGUCUGACCUGCGAGGCCACCCACAGACCCAUGUGCUACGGAUCGUUUCAGCUGUCCCCACAUGAAGUCAGCUGCAGCUGGCCCAAGGCCCGGCUGGAUUUGAUCUGUUUCAGAGGGAAGCAGUGAGGUGUGACUGUGGCACGCUGUUUGUUGCUCUUCAGUCUGGGACCAUGCAGUGGAGAAGUUACAGCUGUUCCUUUGCAGGGGCAACUUUGCUCCUUCAACUGAAUUUAUUCUCUCCAGCUUUGUCCUGCGUGGUGGUGACUGUAGUUUCCAGACCAGGGAGAGUCUUGAAGGCGACAUUUGUACAGUGCUGGGCCUUAGCUAGUAACUGCUGGAUGUGAGAUGGUUUUACAUUUGUGGCAUAGAUAAUCUGCAACACGAAUAAUCUAAUCAUAGAUAAUUGAGAAUUGGUGCCAUGGUUGUUACAAGCCUGUUUUAGCUUCUGAUCCUGCGCAGGCUGUUAUUUUACUGCCGUUCAAGGAGCAGUAUCGGCUUGAGGUAUUCCCGCUUUCCUUUUUUGUUCUCUCUUCUGUCUGUGGCAUGCCACCCAUUCAGUUGUACGAGCACACCUUGUCAAAACAAUGUUUUUUUUAGAAUCAGCUCCCUGGCUUAGUGCUGACUUUUUAAUGAGCCGUACUUAAGAAGCCCAACAAAUAGCUUUGCUGGCACCAAUGAGGAGCAGAGGGGGUAUUAGGAAGCUUUAAGCUACUGUUACCAUUUUUUAUUGUGAAACAGUAGCCACAGGGCAGCUAUACUCCUCUAAUUCCGCUAAUAGCUCUAAUAGCUAUACGAUUGUAAAUUAGGAGUAAUCUCAAGUAAAAGCAAUACUUCC
rnacentral:lncRNA from 1 species